rnacentral:rRNA from 1 species
UACAGAGGGUGCAAGCGUUAAUCGGAAUUACUGGGCGUAAAGCGUGCGUAGACGGUUAUGUAAGUCAGGUGUGAAAGCCCUGGGCUUAACCUGGGAAUUGCAGUCGAUACUACUCGGCUCGAGUAUGGGAGAGGGCAGUGGAAUUCCCGGUGUAGCGGUGAAAUGCGUAGAUAUCGGGAGGAACAUCAGUGGCGGAAGGCGGCUGCCUGGCCCAAUACUGACACUCAGGUGCGACAGCGUGGGGAGCAAACAGG